AGAGAGAGAGAGAGAGAGAGAGAGGGGGGUAAUUAGUGCCCCAGAUGGAGAGGUCCUUCGAGGAUGAGAGGGAGGGGGAAAUCGAAGAGAGAGAAAGGUCAGUCGAGGCUUAAAGGAGUUUCAGCGGAGAGAGUGGGUGUGGUGUCGGAGAGAGAGAAAGCAGUUGCAAAUAUCGAAGAGAGAGAAGGCGAGAGGAAUAGAUAGAGAUCGAAGAGAGCCGAUGAUGGCCCCAAAUAAGUUUUUGGGAAGUCGCAAACAUCCCCCAAGAUGCCUUCUUACUCAACAUCCCCCCACCCACUUUUUUAUCACUCACUGAACUCAAUAUUGUUUUGUAUAGCAUUUGCCCCAUUCAACAAAUGAAAGUCAACUUAAAUGAAGAUAAAAAUAUCCUUUCCCUUAAGUAAGGUCUACGCCCAUUAAGAAUGGGG
rnacentral:lncRNA from 1 species